rnacentral:rRNA from 1 species
UUGCUUGGUGGAUCAGUGGCGAACGGGUGAGUAACACGUGAGCAACCUGCCCUGGACUCUGGGAUAAGCGCUGGAAACGGCGUCUAAUACUGGAUAUGAGCUCUCAUCGCAUGGUGGGGGUUGGAAAGAUUUUUCGGUUUGGGAUGGGCUCGCGGCCUAUCAGCUUGUUGGUGAGGUAAUGGCUCACCAAGGCGUCGACGGGUAGCCGGCCUGAGAGGGUGACCGGCCACACUGGGACUGAGACACGGCCCAGACUCCUACGGGAGGCAGCAGUGGGGAAUAUUGCACAAUGGGCGCAAGCCUGAUGCAGCAACGCCGCGUGAGGGAUGACGGCCUUCGGGUUGUAAACCUCUUUUGGUAGGGAAGAAGCCUUCGGGUGACGGUACCUGCAGAAAAAGCGCCGGCUAACUACGUGCCAGCAGCCGCGGUAAUACGUAGGGCGCAAGCGUUAUCCGGAAUUAUUGGGCGUAAAGAGCUCGUAGGCGGUCUGUCGCGUCUGCUGUGAAAUUCCGAGGCUCAACCUCGGGCUUGCAGUGGGUACGGGCAGACUAGAGUGCGGUAGGGGAGAUUGGAAUUCCUGGUGUAGCGGUGGA